rnacentral:rRNA from 1 species
CCAGACUCCUACGGGAGGCAGCAGUGGGGAAUAUUGGGCAAUGGGCGCAAGCCUGACCCAGCAACGCCGCGUGAAGGAAGAAGGCUUUCGGGUUGUAAACUUCUUUUCUCAGGGACGAAGAAAGUGACGGUACCUGAGGAAUAAGCCACGGCUAACUACGUGCCAGCAGCCGCGGUAAUACGUAGGUGGCAAGCGUUAUCCGGAUUUACUGGGUGUAAAGGGCGUGUAGGCGGGACUGCAAGUCAGAUGUGAAAGUCCGCGGCUCAACCGUGGAAUUGCAGUUGAAACUGGAGGCCUUGAGUGCACACAGGGAUGCCGGAAUUCAUGGUGUAGCGGUGAAAUGCGUAGAUAUUAGGAGGAACACCAGUGGCGAAGGCGGCUUACUGGACUGUAACUGACGUUGAGGCUCGAAAGCGUGGGGAGCAAACAGGAUUAGAUACCCCAGUA